rnacentral:ncRNA from 1 species
UUCACGGAGAGUUUGAUCCUGGCUCAGGACGAACGCUGGCGGCGUGCUUAACACAUGCAAGUCGAACGAUGAACCACUUCGGUGGGGAUUAGUGGCGAACGGGUGAGUAACACGUGGGCAAUCUGCCCUGCACUCUGGGACAAGCCCUGGAAACGGGGUCUAAUACCGGAUACUGACCCGCCUGGGCAUCCAGGCGGUUCGAAAGCUCCGGCGGUGCAGGAUGAGCCCGCGGCCUAUCAGCUUGUUGGUGAGGUAACGGCUCACCAAGGCGACGACGGGUAGCCGGCCUGAGA